AAUAGAUACCCGGGUAGUCCACGCCGUAAACGAUGAGUGCUAGGUGUUGGGGGCUUCCUGUCCUCAGUGCCGAAGGAAACCCAAUAAGCACUCCGCCUGGGGAGUACGGCCGCAAGGCUGAAACUCAAAGGAAUUGACGGGGGCCCGCACAAGCGGUGGAGCAUGUGGUUUAAUUCGAAGCAACGCGAAGAACCUUACCAAGGCUUGACAUCCCGCUGAUCCCUCUAGAGAUAGAGGUUCCCUUCGGGGUCAGCGGUGACAGGUGGUGCAUGGUUGUCGUCAGCUCGUGUCGUGAGAUGUUGGGUUCAGUCCCGCAACGAGCGCAACCCUUAUCCUUAGUUGCCAGCAUUUCGAGUUGGGCUCUCUAAGGAGACAGCCGGUGAAAGCCAGAGGAAGGUGGGGAUGACGUCAAAUCAUCAUGCCCCUUACGUCUUGGGCUACACACGUGCUACAAUGGAUGGUACAAAGGGCAGCGAACCCGCGAGGGGGGUAGCGAAUCCCCGAGAAAGCCAUUCUCAGUUCGGAUUGUAGGCUGCAACG
rnacentral:rRNA from 1 species